rnacentral:lncRNA from 10 species
AAAGGGAACUCCUUGACCCCUUGUGCUUCCCAAGCGAGGCAAUGCCUCGCCCUUCUUCGGCUCGCGCACGGUGCGCGCACCCACUGACCUGCGCCCACUGUCUGGCACUCCCUAGAGAAAUGAACCCGGUACCUCAGAUGGAAAUGCAGAAAUCACUGUCUUCUGCGUCGCUCACGCUGGGAGCUGUCGACCGGAGCUGUUCCUAUUCGGCCAUCCUGGCUCCCCAUCAGUGGUGUCUUUCAUUGGUUUGUAAGGCAGAGGGCUCCUGGGAAGACUGUGUUCCACUCUGCCAUCCAGCUCUCGUGGAGGAUAGCCCCAGGGACAGAGCACGGAGGCAACAGUCAAGCAAAGAGGAAGGUUGGUGUAGAGACAGGAGAAGGCUUAAGUUCCACAGCAAGAAAGGGGCCAUCCAUGGAGGGCUGGAUGGUGUCCUCACUCUCCCAUCACACAGCUCUUCUGAUGAUGUUUUUGCUUGUCUUUCUGGAAGUUCGCUCUGAUCCAAAAUUACAUCUGCAAGGGGCAGCUGAAGUCCAUCAGUUCUGUGAAGUCUUCUGGGAGUUGCCUCAGCCUAGAGAUCUCUUCCUCCAUUUCUCCAAAUAUUUCAGUUAGCUCUAAAUGAACAAUUAGCAUCUCCUAAUUGUGCAACUAUUUAAUUUUGGUUUCCUCAACCAAGGAGUUAAUCCCUUUCUGAGGGCAGGUACUGUCAACUUCUUUUGAUUUUUCUACACUGCAUGUGGCCAUCCCAGAUAACUCACUAACAAUAAAUUCUUGAUGACAUGACUCUACAUGGUAAGACGGCACUACUCACUUGCCAAGAGCCAAACAGAUAUUUUGGAAUCAUUUCCCAGAUAGUGAUAAAAAAUGGGCACAGACCAUUUGUAAUCUUUCAUCCCAUCUUCCUUUUGACUAGUGUCAUCCCUGUAAACCAUGAGUGAUCAGGAUUACAUCUCUACAUUCAGCAGGAGUAGAAUAGAAUUUCCAUUUGCACACAAAACUGACUCACUGAGAGCAAUUUAGUGAUCUCAGUAGAUGGGCCUGCUGCAUGGAAAGGCAGCCAACAGAUGGGGAGUGUCCCUAUCUUAGCCAGAGGAGGGGAAAGUAUGGGAUUCAAUCUGUUUCUUUAAAAGCUGAAGGAUAAACUGAAGAUGAUGUUCAUAAAAACUGUAUUUCCAUUGUUAAGGAGAAAAAUAGAUAGGUAAGCUCAGCCCUCUUUUGAUAAAAGUUGAACAGAGAGGUGAAAAAGGGAAUCCAUUUGUUUAUGCACUUAUCCUAAAGAGAACAUUGAAAGUCAAGGGGGUAUGUCCAGUGGUUUGCAAAGUGGUGUCUCCAGGGGACAUUUACAGUCAAUGUCAUCUACAGAAAGUUGCUGUCUUUGCUAUAGUGAAGGGCAAAUCAUCUCCCAAUUGCGCUGCUUUUCAAGAUUCCAUGAGGAGCUCUACUCUUGAAAAUUUCUGAAUCAAAAUAGAAUCUUAAGGAGUCUAAUUCUAAAUACAAACUUCAUGUGUAAGAUUCUCGCCAUGGCUGUAUGGCAGGUUUUUAAAGAAAGUAUGAGAAUGGUGUAUUUUAUCCAAGUGCUUGUUGCUGUUUUGCUCACUGGUGUCCUAAGCACCUAGAAAAGUCCUUGGCAGUUUUUAGGUGCACAAUAAGUAUUUAAUUUUAUUAUUCCUAAAUUAUUGGUUCGAUGAUUGGGUGUAUACAAGUGCAUAUGUGGAUAUGUGCAUUUGAAUGGAGAGAAAGAAAAAGUACAUGCUUACUCUCUGUGCUAUAAUGUCUCAAAUAUUAAAUCAUGACAUAUGAUAAUAAUGGUCAUUUUUAAGUUACAAAGUUCUUUCACCAUUCAUUCAUUCAGUUGUUAUUUAUUGGGUGCCAAAUUAUGUACCAGGCAGUGUGGUGGGAUACCAGGGAUACAGACAUGCGCCUGCCUGUAUAUGUUUACAAAUCUAGGUGGAAAAAAUAGGUAAAUAAAUA